rnacentral:rRNA from 1 species
UACGUAGGUGGCGAGCGUUAUCCGGAUUUAUUGGGUUUAAAGGGAGCGUAGGCGGCCCGUUAAGUCAGGGGUGAAAGACGGUGGCUCAACCAUCGCAGUGCCCUUGAUACUGGCGGGCUUGAAUGUAGUUGAGGUGGGCGGAAUGUGACAAGUAGCGGUGAAAUGCAUAGAUAUGUCACAGAACGCCGAUUGCGAAGGCAGCUCAC